rnacentral:lncRNA from 1 species
GGUCAUUCUGUCUUUGUCCCAGCCACAGGGCCCUGGACACGGAGCCCGCUGCCCUUGUUUCCUGAGCUGCUCAUUAGAGACCAGCUGGGCCUGGCGCGGGCAGCCGGGGCCAUUUGCUGGGACUUCUGGGGCGGGGCCUGGCUGUGGGCACAGGGUCCCUGAUGAGGGACAGAGGGCAGCCGGGAGGCCGGAGGCCCCAGGGGCAGGAUAGAAGCAGCCCAGGACCUUGAGAGCUCAUCCGCCCAGAGGCCCAGCGUCCUGGCCCCGUGCCCAGGGUGGCCACGGCUCUGUAAGCCACUAGGUGUGAGUACCCAGCACAGCACCCGGGACUCGGAGGGAGCUCGCGUGGGCUGCUGGGUCCGAUGGGAUGGUCCUUGGUCACUAUUGAAACAGCAUGGCCUGCUUUGGAGGCCGCACACCUGGUCCUGAACCUGUCCUCGCCUCGUCCCUGCUGUGCGACCUUGAGCCUGUCUGUGUGACCUUCAGCCUGUGGAGUGCCCUCUCGGAGCCCCGAUUCCUCACCUGUAACAGGGCAGUCACAGUCAUUUGAACCCCAACGUCCUGCCCCAAGAGCGGCAGAGACAGCAGGGACACGCCAGGGGCUCAGGCGGCAGCAGGUCCUGGGCUGGGGUACAGCUCAGUAGCACUUGCCUAGCACGUGGCCACG